rnacentral:rRNA from 1 species
CGUGGGGAGCAAACAGGAUUAGAUACCUGGUAGUCCACGCCGUAAACGAUGAGUGCUAAGUGUUAGGGGGUUCCGCCCUUUAGUGCUGCAGCUAACGCAUUAAGCACUCCGCUGGGGAGUACGACCGCAAGGUUGAAACUCAAAGGAAUUGACGGGGGCCCGCACAAGCGGUGGAGCAUGUGGUUUAAUUCGAAGCAACGCGAAGAACCUUACCAGGUCUUGACAUCCUUUGACAACUCUAGAGAUAGAGCUUUCCCUUCGGGGACAAAGUGACAGGUGGUGCAUGGUUGUCGUCAGCUCGUGUCGUGAGAUGUUGGGUUAAGUCCCGCAACGAGCGCAACCCUUAUUGUUAGUUGCCAUCAUUCAGUUGGGCACUCUAGCGAAACUGCCGGUGACAAACCGGAGGAAGGUGGGGAUGACGUCAAAUCAUCAUGCCCCUUAUGACCUGGGCUGCACACGUGCUACAAUGGACAGUACAAUGAGCAGCGACACGGCGACGUGAAGCGAAUCUCAUAAAGCUGUUCUCAGUUCGGAUUGUAGGCUGCAACUCGCCUACAUGAAGCCGGAAUCGCUAGUAAUCGCGGAUCAGCACGCCGCGGUGAAUACGUUCCCGGGCCUUGUACACACCGCCCGUCACACCACGAAAGUUUGUAACACCCAAAGUCGGUGAGGUAACCUUCGGGAGCCAGCCGCCUAAGGUGGGAUAGAUGAUUGGGGUGAAGUCGUAACAAGGUAACCA